GCUUAUAGCUCAGCCGGUUAGAGCGCACGCCUGAUAAGCGUGAGGUCGGUGGUUCGAGUCCUCUUACGCC
rnacentral:tRNA from 1 species